AUCCAGCUGAAGAGUCUCAAAUAGGGCGAAACGCGACUCCUGAAU
rnacentral:hammerhead_ribozyme from 1 species